UGGGAUAAAACAAGUGAGGUUUGAUAGUGCUGUUAACUCCUCUCCCAGCUCACCACGAAAACCUCAGUGCUGAUACGCUCCUGCCGAGGAAUUAAAGCAACUUUAAGGAAUUAAAAGGAGCUGCAAAUCCAUGCUGGAAGAUUUGCUCCCAGGGGGAUGUGUCUGCUUGGAAAAAUAAAACCAACCCAGCUGGAGUUUUCAAAGGUGUGCCCAAAGAAAAAUCAACAUUUCAAGUGCCUGAUUGCCUUCGGCACCUUGGAGAGCCCAACACAAAGGACAUCUUCACUCUGUGAGAGGUUUUAAUGUGAAGUCUGGAGGAUUUGGGCACUCUGGAUGUUCACCUGGAAUUGAGCAGUGCAGGAUUAGACCAGGGCUGGACACGAGCCCAGGGGUGCCCAGGUGGGCAAGAGGCCCCUGGCCCCUGGGCUGGGUGAGGAAUUGUGUGUCCAGCAGGAGCAGGGCAGGGAUUGUCCCUCUGUGCUGGCUCUGAGAGGCCCCUCCAGGGCUGGCUCCAGUUGUGGCUGGUGCAGGAGAGCCCNUGGGACAGGGGUACAAGGUAAGUAAGGAGUUUACAAACAGUAAUUGUAACAUCUUAUUCUUAACACCACCCAUGCUUUGGGUGCCUCCUGCUCUGACUUGUGCCACACAGUGAUCCCAAAAUCCACAGGAUCCCACAAAACAUGGCUUUGUUAUCCAUCUGUCAAACAGCCCUGCUCACAGAGGUGAAAAGCAAGAAGGUUUUCAGAGGAGAAGUAGAGCUCCCCUGGGGAUAAUUCUUUGGGUAAUUCCUUGGGCAGUGGAAUCAUCUGCCCAGGGAGGUGCUGGAGUCACUGUCCCUGGAUGUGUUCACGAGAAGCCUGGAUGUGGCACUCAGUGCUGUGCUUUGGUUGAUGAGGAGGUGCUGGGUUAGGUCACAGGUUGGACUUGAUGAUCUCAAAGGUCUUUUCCAACCUAUUUCACUCUGAUUCUGUGAAUUCCAUCUCUGCUGGAGCCAGGGUUUGGAGAU
rnacentral:lncRNA from 1 species